CGCGUAGGCGGCCUGGUAAGUCAGAUGUGAAAGCCCGGGGCUUAACCCCGGAAGUGCAUUUGAUACUGUCAGGCUUGAGUAUGGGAGAGGGAAGUGGAAUUCCUGGUGUAGAGGUGAAAUUCGUAGAUAUCAGGAGGAACACCGGUGGCGAAGGCGACUUCCUGGACCAAUACUGACGCUGAGGCGCGAAGGCGUGGGGAGCAAACAGGAUUAGAUACCCUGGUAGUCC
rnacentral:rRNA from 1 species